CUUCCUUCCUGCACGACGAUCGUUACAGAACAACCCACCAAACCAGGACCAAGCAGCGGGAGGAAAAGGAGCGCGAGAGAUGGGCUCGCGAGGGAAAGGAGUUCUGGACCUGGGAGGAGAUCAUGUCGGGGAAAGGACCCUGGCGGAAGGAUUCCCAGGUCGAGGAGGUGAUGCCAGCCGGUGGAAGGAGUCAAAGGCGGCGGUCGAGGAGGCCCGGAAGACACCCCCAAGAAUUUUUUUGGGGGGGGCUAAUGGGGUGGUCCGGAAGGGCAGAGGAAGAGCCCAGACCACUGCUCUUGUGGGGGAUAACGGCGGAGGAGGCAGAGAUGUGGCAGGUCCUGGAGGACCUGCGUAGGGACAGCGUGGAGGAAGAGCCUUGGGUGGCAGAGGUGCGCACGGUAUCGCCAGUGCGCCUGCACAGCCCAGUGCGCUCUGUGCCAGCGCCCCACAUUUGCAGGGCUAGGGGGAGUGUUCAGCGAGGACGUCUUGUGCCGGCUCAGCGCUCCUGGCCUCCGGUGCCCCUUCUCGGUCCGAUGUAUCCUGCGCCGAGGACGCGCACUGUGUCUCCGGUACGGCUGCACAGCCCAGUGCGUUCUGUGCCAGCGCUCCACACUUGCCAGGCUAAGGUGGGUGUUGAGCCAGAACGGGUGAUGUCAGCUGUGCACUCCAGACCUCCAGUGCGCCUCCUCGGUCCAGGAUAUCCGGCGCCGCUUAUGCGCACUGUGUCGCCAGUGUGCGGUCACAGUCCAGUCCGGCCCGUCCCUGCUCCCCGCACCAGGUUAGUGGUGUGUGUCCACAGUCCUGUCCGGCCCAUCCCUGCUCCCCGGACCAGGUUAGUGGUGCGCGUCCCCAGUCCAGUCCGGCCAGUCCCUGCUCCCCGCACCAAGCCAGUGGUGUGUGGCCCCAGUCCAGUUCGGCCCGUCCCUGCUCCCCGCACCAGGUUAGUGGUGCGUGUCCCCAGUCCUGUCCGGCCCGUCCCUGCUCCCCGCACCAGGUUAGUGGUGCGCGUCCCCAGUCCAGUCCGGCCCGUCCCUGCUCCCCGCACCAAGCCAGUGGUGUGUGGCCCUAGUCCAGUCCGGCCCGUCCCUGCUCCCCGCACCAAGCCAGUGGUGUGUGGCCCCAGUCCAGUCCGGCCCGUCCCUGCUCCCCGCACCAGGUUAGUGGUGCGUGUCCCCAGUCCUGUCCGGCCCAUCCCUGCUCCCCGCACCAGGUUAGUGGUGCGCGUCCCCAGUCCAGUCCGGCCCGUCCCUGCUCCCCGCACCAAGCCAGUGGUGUGUGGCCCCAGUCCAGUCCAGCCCGUCCCUGCUCCCCGCACCAGGUUAGUGGUGCGUGUCCCCAGUCCUGUCCGGCCCGUCCCUGCUCCCCGCACCAGGUUAGUGGUGCGUGUCCACAGUCCUGUCCGGCCCAUCCCGGCUCCCCGCACCAAGCCGGUGGUGCGUGUCCCCAGUCCAGUCCGGCCCGUCCCUGCUCCCCACACCAGGUUGUUGGUGCGUGUCCCCAGGCCAGUCCGGCCCGUCCCUGCUCCCCGCACCAGGUUGGUGGUGCGUGUCCCCUGUCCUGUCCGGCCCGUCCCUGUUCCCCGCACCAGGCCCACGGCGCGUGUCCACAGUCCGGCACGGCCUGUGUCCGGUCCACCGGUGACCAGUCCUGUUCCGGUCGGCGGCUCCGCUCCGGAGCCUGAGCAUGCCGCUCCACCGUGGUCCAGUCCGGGCCAGAGGGGUAGGGCUAGGGUGGAGGCAGGGGGAGAAACACGCCCGGGGCCAGAGCCUCCACCGAGGGUGAGGCGCCCACCCGGGUCCCCCCCCCUAAUAGACUUUAGGUUGGUGCGCCGGGAGUACGCACCGUUGGAGGGGGGGUACUGUCAUGCCCUGACCAGGUGAACUCUUCUAUUUUGGUCAGGGUGUGGCA
rnacentral:lncRNA from 1 species